UCAAGAUCACAGUCAUGAAGUGGCUGCCCAGUGGUAGGAGUGAAAGCAUGGUGCUUAUUGCUUAAUUCAUAUGGUCAAAGGAAAAAAGUGAGUAAGAGGCAGAAACUGAGAUCAGAUAGUGUCUCUUCAAGACCAAAAUCACCAACCACCUUACUGGGGAGGACUGGGAGCAAGGAAAAUUCUGUGAGACUUCAUCUUCAAUUAACCAACACACAGCUGGGCUGGAGAGAUGGCUCAAGUGAUAAAGUAUCAGCCAUGAGCAAACAACCUGAGUGAGAGCAAAAAGCAGAAUAAGAGCUCCUUGAAGAACGAUUGACUCAACUACUGGUAUAGGAUUCCUAAUGGCCAAAGCUGAAAAAUUUUAAGACAAAA